rnacentral:rRNA from 1 species
UACGUAGGGGGCUAGCGUUAUCCGGAUUUAUUGGGCGUAAAGGGAGCGCAGGCGGUCUUUUAAGUCUGAUGUGAAAGCCUUCGGCUUAACCGGAGUAGUGCAUUGGAGACUGGGAGACUUGAGUGCAGAAGAGGAGAGUGGAACUCCAUGUGUAGCGGUGAAAUGCGUAGAUAUAUGGAAGAACACCAGUGGCGAAAGCGGCUCUCUGGUCUGUAACUGACGCUGAGGUUCGAAAGCGUGGGUAGCAAACAGG